GACGAACGCUGGCGGCGUGCCUAAUACAUGCAAGUUGAGCGAUGAAGAUUGGUGCUUGCACCAAUUUGAAGAGCAGCGAACGGGUGAGUAACGCGUGGGGAAUCUGCCUUUGAGCGGGGGACAACAUUUGGAAACGAAUGCUAAUACCGCAUAAUAACUUUAAACAUAAGUUUUAAGUUUGAAAGAUGCAAUUGCAUCACUCAAAGAUGAUCCCGCGUUGUAUUAGCUAGUUGGUGAGGUAAAGGCUCACCAAGGCGAUGAUACAUAGCCGACCUGAGAGGGUGAUCGGCCACAUUGGGACUGAGACACGGCCCAAACUCCUACGGGAGGCAGCAGUAGGGAAUCUUCGGCAAUGGACGAAAGUCUGACCGAGCAACGCAGCGUGGAUGAAGAAGGUUUUCGGAUCGUAAAACUCUGUUGGUAGAGAAGAACGUUGGUGAGAGUGGAAAGCUCAUCAAGUGACGGUAACUACCCAGAAAGGGACGGCUAACUACGU
rnacentral:rRNA from 1 species